CCCAGACUCCUACGGGAGGCAGCAGUGGGGGAUAUUGCACAAUGGGGGGAACCCUGAUGCAGCGACGCCGCGUGGGUGAAGGAGCGUUUCGGCGCGUAAAGCCCUAUCGGCAGGGAAGAAGGAGGACGGUACCUGACUAAGAAGCCCCGGCUAACUACGUGGCAGCAGCCGCGGUAAUACGUAGGGGGCCAGCGUUAUCCGGAUUUACUGGGUGUAAAGGGGGCGCAGACGGCAGCGCAAGCCAGGAGUGAAAGCCCGGGGCGCAACCCCGGGACUGCUCUUGGAACUGCGCGGCUGGAGUGCAGGAGGGGCAGGCGGAAUUCCUGGUGUAGCGGUGAAAUGCGUAGAUAUCAGGAGGAACACCGGUGGCGAAGGCGGCCUGCUGGACUGCGACUGACGUUGAGGCCCGAAAGCGUGGGGAGCAAACAGGAUUAGAUACCCGGGUACAG
rnacentral:rRNA from 1 species